rnacentral:lncRNA from 1 species
GAACAGGCAGAGGCAGUUCAGGGGGUAUUCUGGUUGCCUUACCCAGCUCUGAAGUCUGUCAGCCUCUUCAGAUGUCACUUGCCCUGUGGUAAGGAAGUGUAGUUGGCAGCUGGUGCAGUGGCAAGAAGAGAAAGGAGGUUCCCCAAGACAGAAAUAUCUCAGCAGACCGUGAUCAUGGGCUACAUUCUCCAUACCAGCUUCAUAGCUCCAGUGAGAAAAUAAAUUCCUGCACCCAGGAGACGUGGAGUAAGAGAUACAGCUGACCUUGACCACAUUUCUUACUUCCAAGAAGAUUGUAGCAAUAAUUCAGGAUUUCAUCCAGGAUACCUCAUCACAGCCUGGAGUGCAGUGUCAUGAGCUUGGCUCACUACAGCCUCCAUCUUCUGAGCUUAAGGAUCCUUCCCUCUCAACCUCCAGGGUAGCUGAGACUACAGGCAACAUUUGAAACCCAGGAGCCACUGCUUCAGGAAGGUACCUUCAAGCUCCAAGGACUCUUAUCCUCUUUCUCCUUCCCCACUACCUAGUCAUUAGAGUGUCAGCAUCCACUUCUUGAAAGGAAGAUGCCUGUUUUUCACAUAUCCCAGAAAGCCCCAUUUUAGGACAGCAUUUAGCAGAGUAUAUUCAAGAUCCCACUAACCUUUUCGGAAGACAUGAAUUCCAGAUGAUAUAAGGCAAGAAUAAGAAAUUUCAGUGUCAGGGAACAUAAAUCAUAUUUCUGCAUUCAGGAUCACGUUUUCUUGGUACAGGGAUUUCUUCUUCAAGUAAUCCAAAGACAACUUUACUUUCAAACCUUUCAGAAAACCUGUUCUAAUUUACUUUGCUUCAUUCUACAGGCUCCAUCAGGAACUGUUCAGGACCAUGCACUCUGUUGAUACUCACAUGGUGGAAUUAUAUUGCCCUUGGCCAACCCUAAAGCCAUCAAGAUAGCAGGUAAACAGAGUACAAAAAAUAUUUCUAAUAAGUUGCUUUAGGGCAGUCCCUGCUUCCAGAGGCCUGGGAAUAAAUCUUU